CAGGGUUCUCCGGGAAAGCAGGACAGGAGGAAUCUCCACUUUCAGGAAUCUCUAGACCAGCAUCAGGUAUCCACUUAUGUGUAGACAGAUGGGGCAGGGGGUUAGAACAGCAAGAGGCUCAUGCAAGUGUAGAGGCACAGGACUCUGUGUUCAGCAAGCUGGAGCCCAGGAAAGCUGAGGCGAUACAGCCCAAAGGCCAUCGAAUCAGAACUAAGUCUCUCCUGCGUUUCCUCUUUUUAUGUGGGUCUUCAUUAGAUUAGAGAAAUCCCUCCACAUCAGAAGGGACAAUCAGCUCCAUUCCACCUUCACAAUGUUAAUGUCAUCUGCUCUAAAACCGUCCUGCAAUAUGACGUCACACCACACAUCGGAGUGCCCAGGAGCCUAGUCAUACUGACGAACAGCUGAGCUGUCAGACACAGUGUUCAUCUGGCUUCCCCACACUCAAGCCCUUGCUGGCAUCCUCGUUGCCUGAUGGAUGAAGAAAAAAGACUCGGAGGCAUUAAUUAACUGUCCCCUGGUCUCUCGCCACCAAAUGACAGAACCAACUGCCCGGAAACUAUGAGACAGAGAAGCCUUUCCUCCUUGGAAGUUGUUCAACUCAGCCAUCUUGUCAUGCUGCUGAAAGGCUAACAAGGGUGCCUUGCAAGAUCUCAGUAAUAGCUCCAGGAUGAAUCUCUCCAUCCACCAACCACAAGAGUCUGCCUGAUUUAUUUGCUUCAUGUAUGUGGGUAUUCUGUUGCUGUCUUCAGGCACACCAGAAAGUGGCAUCAGAUGCCCAUUACAGAUGGCACCAUGGUGAGCCACCAGGUGUUGCUGGGAUUUGAACUCUGGACCACUGGAAGAGCAGUCAGUGCUCUUAACCACUGAGCCAUCUCUCCAGCCCUCAAUUGACUUUCUUAUUUGAGUUGUAAAUGCAUCAAAAAAGCAGCAGAGACAGCUAGCGACAUCGGCAACUCGUCUGACCCAGGAACGCUAAGGAAGGCGCAGUGCGUGCUGGGUGAAGAUGCUUCAUAGAGGAGAGGAGUCCCUGAAGAUGCAGAGCACUGUGGCAGCAUCAGAAGCUGACCAUGACCAAUUGAGAGCGGCCAGCAGAGCCAGUCCUCUUACAGCUGCAGAAGUGGUCAGAGAGCUCACGGUGUGCCAGUCAAUGGCCAUUUGGUAUUUGAAGCAAAUUGGGAAAGCGAAAAAGCUUGGUAAGUGGGUGCCUGUGGGCUGAGUGAAAAUCAAAACCUCUGCCAUUUUGAACUGUCUGCUUACACUCCACACUCAACAAGGAACCAUUUCUUGAUUGGACUAUGAACGGGGGGUGGGGGGUGGGGGGGGAGAAGUGGAUUGUAUGUGACCACCAGCAAUGACCAGCUGAGAAACAGUUCCAAAGCCAAGCCAACACAAAAUAAAUGCCGUGGUCACUGUU